rnacentral:rRNA from 1 species
AACGAACGCUGGCGGCAUGCCUAACACAUGCAAGUCGAACGAGACCUUCGGGUCUAGUGGCGCACGGGUGCGUAACGCGUGGGAACCUGCCCUUAGGUUCGGAAUAACUCCCCGAAAGGGGUGCUAAUACCGGAUAAUGUCUUCGGACCAAAGAUUUAUCGCCUUUGGAUGGGCCCGCGUUGGAUUAGCUAGUUGGUAGGGUAAAAGCCUACCAAGGCGACGAUCCAUAGCUGGUCUGAGAGGAUGAUCAGCCACACUGGGACUGAGACACGGCCCAGACUCCUACGGGAGGCAGCAGUGGGGAAUAUUGGACAAUGGGCGAAAGCCUGAUCCAGCAAUGCCGCGUGAGUGAUGAAGGCCUUAGGGUUACAAAGCUCUUUUACCCGGGAUGAUAAUGACAGUACCGGGAGAAUAAGCUCCGGCUAACUCCGUG